GAUGAACGCUGGCGGCGUGCCUAAUACAUGCAAGUCGAGCGAACAGACGAGGAGCUUGCUCCUCUGACGUUAGCGGCGGACGGGUGAGUAACACGUGGAUAACCUACCUAUAAGACUGGGAUAACUUCGGGAAACCGGAGCUAAUACCGGAUAACAUGUUGAGCCGCAUGGUUCAACAGUGAAAGACGGUCUUGCUGUCACUUAUAGAUGGAUCCGCGCCGCAUUAGCUAGUUGGUAAGGUAACGGCUUACCAAGGCAACGAUGCGUAGCCGACCUGAGAGGGUGAUCGGCCACACUGGAACUGAGACACGGUCCAGACUCCUACGGGAGGCAGCAGUAGGGAAUCUUCCGCAAUGGGCGAAAGCCUGACGGAGCAACGCCGCGUGAGUGAAGAAGGUCUUCGGAUCGUAAAACUCUGUUAUUAGGGAAGAACAAAUGUGUAAGUAACUAUGCACGUCUUGACGGUACCUAAUCAGAAAGCCACGGCUAACUACGUG
rnacentral:rRNA from 1 species